CGCUGGCGGCAUGCCUCACACAUGCAAGUCGAACGGGGUUUGGUUGAAAGUUUACUUUUGACUAAACCUAGUGGCGGACGGGUGAGUAACGCGUGGGCAACCUACCCUACAGACCGGGAUACCAUCGGGAAACUGAUGUUAAUACCGGAUACACUUAGUAUAACGCAUGUUUUAUUAAGGAAAGAUUUUAUCGCUGUAGGAUGGGCCUGCGUUCCAUUAGCUAGUUGGUAGGGUAGCGGCCUACCAAGGCGACGAUGGAUAGCUGGUCUGAGAGGACGAUCAGCCACACUGGGACUGAGACACGGCCCAGACUCCUACGGGAGGCAGCAGUGGGGGAUAUUGCGCAAUGGGCGAAAGCCUGACGCAGCAAUGCCGCGUGAAGGAAGAAGGUCUUCGGAUUGUAAACUUCUGUUAAGAGGGAUGAAAAAAUGACAGUACCUCUAGAGGAAGCCCCGGCUAACUACGUGCCAGCAGCCGCGGUAAUACGUAGGGGGCGAGCGUUGUCCGGAAUCACUGGGCGUAAGCGCGCGUAGGUGGUUAAUUAAGUCAGGUGUUAAAUGCGGGGCUCACCCCGUAAUGC
rnacentral:rRNA from 1 species